AUGACCUUCGGCCAACAAGACAUCGCCUUCUCGCCGUACAACGCGAGCUGGCGCGAAUUGCGCAAGCUGUUCGUCUCAGAGCUCGUGGGGAGCAAACGCGUCCACACCUUCUCUCACGCACUAGAAGCUCAGGUCAGCGAGCUGAUCCAAUCCCUCUCACCGAUGACGGAGCCCGUCAACCUCAACGAGAUCCUCUUCACGCUCAUUGACAGCUUCAUCGGCACGGUGGCGUUCGGGAGCAUGAAAGGUGCCAAGCUCAUGAAGUACGCCAAGUUCCAGCGGGUGUUCAGCGAGGCCACGGUGGCCCUCUACGCCUUCUCCGCGCAGGACUUCUUCCCGGCGUCGCCCAUGAGCCGGUGGUUCGACAAGCUCGUCGGGCUGGAGAGGCGGUACCUCAGGACAUUCCUUGAGAUAGACUCCUACUUGGAGAUGGUGAUCAGCCAACAUAUGGAUCCUGGGAGGGUGAAGCCCGAGAAAGAUGACCUUGUGGAUGUGUUGAUCAGUCUUUGGAAGGACGAAGGCAAAGUCACAAAGGACCACGUCAAGGCUCUUCUAGGGGAUGCAUUUAUCGGUGGCACCGCGACGAGCUCGGUGACAUUGUUGUGGGCUAUGUCUGAGCUCAUCAAGAAUCCGACGGCGAUGAAGAAGGCACAGGCAGAGCUAAGGAGUUUGGUCGGCGGCAAACAGAGACUAGUGCAAGUCGACGACCUCUCUAAACUCAAGGGACAAACCAGAGGAGUUCUACCCGGAGAGGUUUGA
rnacentral:rRNA from 1 species